AUAACGCGUCUAAAGAAAAUACAUGUUUCUAACUUUGCGAGGGCCAUAAAAAUUCGCUAAAUAGCACGCCUCGAUUUUUUAGGGAUAAGAAUAUUAAUUAAGCGAGGGUCAUGUAAUUUAUGAUUUUGUUUGCCAUAGCACACCUUGAUUUUCAAUUAAAAAGGAAAUUCAAACUAAACUCCGAGGGCCAUACUUUAUGCAAUUGGUCAUUAUGCCACACCUCCAUUGCUAAAGAAACGAUGAAUUAAUUAAAGGGCUACUAAAAUCGUCACUACCCCAAAUGUUAAUGGAAAAGGGUUCUACUAAGGUCCAAGACUGGAUAAUAUAUUUAAUAAAAGAAAAAAGCUAAUGGUGUGAAGUCCAAUUUUUGGCCUAUCGUGAGGCCCAAUAACCUCAAAAGACGCGAGGUCAUUCUUAUUGUCCAAUUUGCAUCAGUCCAAUGUUAUGCUGAGGCCUGAGUAUUAUGAAAAACCCAGUAGCCUAAUACAGCUAUCAGAUCGUUGAGUUACAGGCCUUGUGCCAAAUUCUGCACAAGCCCAAGAGAAGAACCCAACCUUGGUGAAAUAUGCAUUAUGAAACGCCCCAUGUCUGCAUUUCGAGUCCAGGUACUAGCAGUAAGCAAUUUAGAUUUGAAAUAUAGAGUGACAAGAAAUUCCAAACCUCACAUAUCCAAGAAUUCGAUAUUGAACAACCCCAAAAUCUGAACUAACAAUUACUAGACAUCGAAACACUGAUGGUAAUUAAACAGACAAUGGUUCCAAGCCUUUUUUAGUUCCAACACAUGUGGCUAAUCCAUGAAAUACUAUCCAUUAGCUAUUACUGAAACUUAUAAGACUAAAAAUAAACAUGCUCAUUUCUGAAUUUACACAUUCAAGCCGAUUGUAUAAACAUUUCAAACUUCUACACCAUUUCUAAACUAAAAUUAUUCACAUGCUAUUUGACAAUACAUCGGCAAUAUCCUGAUUACCCUUAGCAUUUUUUAACCCCAAUUCAAACAUGAGAUUAACACCCAAAAAAAUGAUUAUCCAUAUUUAGCCAAGGAUGAAACAACCUCACUACAUUUUUAACCUACUCGAAGCCCUUAGUGCAACAGUCUAACAGUCCAAAAUUUAAUUACAACAUGGAAACUUAGCUAGUCAAAAGAAACCAACUAAACUACAUUGGAUCAAAUGGCCAAACAGAUAAACAUCAUGAAAGAUCACCACUGCGUUUAUUCUAUAUUCAAAUUGUCUACAUUAUGAAAGAUUCAGAAUCGGUACCUGGAGAUUUAAAGGAAAGAGGAGAAGAAACAGUAAUAGCAACAAAACAACAGCUUCAACAAAUCAGUCCAACCAAAAAUUUGAGGUGAAACAAUAACAAAAACACCCUCAAUUGAGCUAGGACUACAACAACUUCAAAUCAAACUUUAAAAAUCCAAAUUCAAACCAUUUCCAUAUCAAUUGAAUCAAAACUAUCUCAGAAAUGGAACAAAUCCAAGACUACUGGAAAAAUACAAUGGAACAGUACAAGAGCUCAGCCUUUUAUAUUUUUCAGAUUUUU
rnacentral:lncRNA from 1 species